CAAGUUCCUAAAUAAUUUCUAUCCAUGCCAUGCCCCUGACUCAUUUUCUCCAUUCAGAAGUCACUAGCUUUAGAGAGAUGGAGAACGAAAGUUUCCACUGUGUCACAGGAGACAUACCUAAAUUGGCACCCUCAAAACUGGUUAAUGUAAGGAAAGCUGUUUAGAGUCAGGCCAUGGCAGUUCUCAGUGACAAUAUCAUUAGGCUCUCCCUGAAAAAUCUCUUGUAUCCUUGAGAGCACUAGCUUCUUCUGUGAUGUAAUAAGUGUUGUCCUGACUGCAAAUGCCUCUCAGAUAUUACUUCAGUACCUAUAGGUUUUACUAAUUGGCCUCAAAUUCAGGGGAAACAGUCAUUAGGGAGGGAGAACAAAGACGAUGAAGAAAUCAGAGAUGGGGAGAACGAAGCUGGUCUUCUGUCUUGGUAUAAAAGAAGGAAGAAAUACAUCAUCCCUGAGAAAUCUCACUGAAGCCUUGGUAGGAGUGGAAUAUGAAAAAUAGUCCUGAGGAAGGAGGGACAACAAGUAUUGUAUCGUCAUGUCAUCUCAAGAAAAACUCUCAAAACUCAUCCUGGCUGACAAUGUAGAUUAGACGCAUCAGAUGAAAUGAAUUGAAAAACUCUCCUGGGAAUGAAAGUGAUAACUGAAUGAUUAUUGUAAAGCAAAUCCCGGAAUGAACUUAUGAGACCCACCAUCAGCCUGUCAAAUAAUGUGCGAAAGAAGAAAUCUGUGUCUCUCCAGGGACAAAUUGUUGCUUUCAAACCAACAGUAAAGUGUCCAUUCUA